GCCGAACCGUGCGAACGUUGUUCGGAAUCACUGGGCUUGAAGGGCGCGUAGGCGGGCGCAUUAGUCAGGGGUGAAAGCCCACGGCUCAACCGUGGAAGGGCCUUUGAUACUGUGCGUCUUGAGGGAGGUAGGGGCGUGCGGAACUUCCGGUGGAGCGGUGAAAUGCGUAGAUAUCGGAAGGAACACCGGUGGCGACAGCGGCGCGCUGGACCUCUUCUGACGCUGAGGCGCGAAAGCCAGGGGAGCAAACGGG
rnacentral:rRNA from 1 species